GCCGCGGUGGCGGAAUUGGCAGACGCACUAGCUUCAGGAGCUAGCGGUCGCAAGGCCAUGAGGGUUCAAAUCCCUCCCGCGGCA
rfam:Candidatus Thrbacteria bacterium RIFCSPHIGHO2_12_FTLL_57_11 rifcsphigho2_12_scaffold_50874, whole genome shotgun sequence.